AACGGCGAGUGAAGCGGCAACAGCUCAAAUUUGAAAUCUGGGGUCCUUUGGGCCUCCGAGUUGUAGUUUGCAGAGGGAGCCUCGGAGGGCGUGCCGGCCCAAGUGCCUUGGAACAGGAUACCGCAGAGGGUGAGAGUCCCGUAUCCGGCCGGUGGCGCGCUCCGUGUGAGGCCUCUUCGACGAGUCGAGUUGUUUGGGAAUGCAGCUCCAAGCGGGUGGUAAAUUCCAUCUAAAGCUAAAUACUGGCCAGAGACCGAUAGCGAACAAGUAGAGUGAUCGAAAGAUGAAAAGCACUUUGAAAAGAGAGUCAAACAGUACGUGAAAUUGUUGAAAGGGAAGCGCAUGGGGGCAGACUUGGCCGCGGGGUUCAGGGUGCGUUCUCGCGCCUGCACUUCCCCGCGGACAGGCCAGCAUCGGUUCUGGGGGCCGGACAAAGGGGCCGGGAAGGUAGCCGCCUUCGGGCGGUGUUAUAGCCCGGCGCGCAAUGCGGCCACCUGGGACCGAGGACCGCGCUUCGGCAAGGAUGCUGGCGUAAUGGCCUCAUGCGGCCCGUCUUGAAACACGGACCAAGGAGUCUAACAUCUAUGCGAGUGUUUGGGUGGCAAGCCCGGGCGCGCAAUGAAAGUGAACGGAGGUGGGAGCUGUCGUAGGCGCACCAUCGACCGAUCCGGACGUUUUCCGAAGGAUUUGAGUAGGAGCAUAGCUGUUGGGACCCGAAAGAUGGUGAACUAUGCGUGAAUAGGGUGAAGCCAGAGGAAACUCUGGUGGAGGCUCGCAGCGGUUCUGACGUGCAAAUCGAUCGUCAAAUUUGCGUAUAGGGGCGAAAGACUAAUCGAACCAUCUAGUAGCUGGUUCCUGCCGAAGUUUCCCUCAGGAUAGCAGUNACGUAUUCAGUUUUAUGAGGUAAAGCGAACGAUUAGGGAGCUAGGGGUUGAAACAACCUUUAUCCAUUCUCGAACUUUAAAUAUGUAAGAAGUCCUUGUUGCUUUGUUGAACGUGGACACUCGAAUGCAGCGUUACUAGUGGGCCAUUUUUGGUAAGCAGAACUGGCGAUGCGGGAUGAACCGAACGUGGGGUUAAGGUGCCGGAAUGCACGCUCAUCAGACACCACAAAAGGUGUUGGUUCAUCCAGACAGCAGGACGGUGGCCAUGGAAGUCGGAAUCCGCUAAGGAGUGUGUAACAACUCACCUGCCGAAUGAACCAGCCCUGAAAAUGGAUGGCGCUCAAGCGUGCUACCCAUACCCCACCGUCUUCGUGCGAGGGUUGACGAAGACGAGUAGGCAGGCGUGGAGGUUUUGUGACGAAGCCCAGGGGGUGACCCCGGGUCGAACGGCCUCUAGUGCAGA
rnacentral:rRNA from 2 species